GCUCAAUUUUGGAUGGACCUGUUUGGAGACCUGAGAGACUCUGGACACUUUAAUGGCAGCCAUGAACUUAAGGACUUAUUGAGAUUCUGCUUCAAUAAUGUUCUGCAAAAAGACCUGGAUGAGAGCACAGACCUCUGGAAUAAGCACAGGAUUACACUCUCCAGACAUGCAUCAUGUCCUGGGGGAACUACAGACGAACUCUAUCUCUUACCUCAUAUAUCAACUGACAAUGACUUGACUAUAUCCAUUCUCACAAAAAUAUGUUUGGUUCAAAGGACUGGAUACGUUUCCAGAGUCAAGGCAAACUCUUCAUUCAUGCAGUGAUCCAGACAUCCAGGAUUAUCUUCAACAGACUGUUGAGCGAAAUGGAUUACAGCAGCCACAUAAUUGGGAGUCAGCCUCAGAACUUUAUGUCACCUUGAAAGAAAUAGCUGGCCUAUAAAUAUGGUCUACUGCAGCCCACUCUUAAAGGCCAGAUAUUAAAGGAAAACAUUCUCAAAUGUGGUUUAGCUGUUUGAGUAUCAUGUUUGGCAAGUGGAGUUCAGUAUAUGCAGUGUCAUAUCAGAGUGGAGACAUACAUUAAACUCAAAUGUAACUC